GAUGAACGCUAGCUACAGGCUUAACACAUGCAAGUCGCGGGGCAGCAUGGGGGUUGCUUGCAAUCCCCGAUGGCGACCGGCGCACGGGUGAGUAACGCGUAUCCAACCUGCCCUUCACCACGGGAUAACCCGGCGAAAGUCGGACUAAUACCGUAUGUUGUCCAUUGACGGCAUCCGAUUUGGACGAAAGGUUUGGCGGUGAAGGAGGGGGAUGCGUCCGAUUAGCUGGACGGCGGGGUGACGGCCCACCGUGGCGACGAUCGGUAGGGGUUCUGAGAGGAAGGUCCCCCACACUGGAACUGAGACACGGUCCAGACUCCUACGGGAGGCAGCAGUGAGGAAUAUUGAUCAAUGGGCGUAAGCCUGAACCAGCCAAGUAGCGUGCAGGAUGACGGCCCUAUGGGUUGUAAACUGCUUUUAUGCGGGGAUAAAGUGGCCCACGUGUGGGUUUUUGCAGGUACCGCAUGAAUAAGGACCGGCUAAUUCCGUG
rnacentral:rRNA from 1 species